UCCUGACAGAACUCUAGCAAGAUAAAUGAGGAGAAUUUACAUCUGAGAACAUGACCCAAAUGUAACAGCCUUCAGAAAGUCUAGUAAAUGAUAAUAACAGGAAAUAUGACAGACAAGAAUUCAGCAAUGUGAAGAAACUGAGGUUCAAGGACUAGUAACCAGCAGCAGGUCUCACAGCUGGAAGACAACUAAGAGCAAAAAGAGAGGUGCAAUUAAAGUGCUAAGAAAGCACUGCAGACAGAGAACCUGACACUGACAAGGAGAAUCACAAACGCAUCAGUGAGGAGCCGGCAUUUUGGCUCAGUCUAGAAGUCAUAGGAAUUUUCCUGGAGAAAGUUUUUUCAAAGUGGACAGC